CCUACGGGUGGCAGCAGUGGGGGAUAUUGCACAAUGGGGGAAACCCUGAUGCAGCGACGCCGCGUGGGUGAAGAAGCGCCUCGGCGCGUAAAGCCCUGUCAGCAGGGAAGAAAAUGACGGUACCUGAAGAAGAAGCCCCGGCUAACUACGUGCCAGCAGCCGGGGUAAUCCGUAGGGGGCAAGCUGUAUCCGGUUUGACUGGGUGUAAAGGGGGCACAGACGGGGAUGCAAGUCAGGAGUGAAAGACGGGGGCGCAAACCCGGGACGGCUGAUGGAACUGCGUGGCUAGAGUGCAGGAGGGGCAGGCGGAACUACUGGUGGAGCGGUGAAAUGCGUAGAUAUAAGGAGGAACACCGGUGGCGAAGGUGGCCUGCUGGACUGAAACUGACGUUGAGGCCCGAAAGCGUGGGGAGCAAACAGGAUUAGAUACCCUAGUAGUC
rnacentral:rRNA from 1 species